rnacentral:rRNA from 1 species
CCCGCUGAACUUAAGCAUAUCAGUAAGCGGAGGAAAAGAAACUAACAAGGAUUCCCCUAGUAGUGGCGAACGAAGAGGGAAAAGCUCAAAUUUGGAAGCUGAAAGACAUCGUCUUUCCGCAUUGUAACCUCAAGAAACGUUUUCGGCGACGGUCCUGGUUUAAAUCCUUUGGAACAGGGUGUCAUAGAGGGUGAGAACCCCGUCUGUGACCAGGAUGCGGUUGCUGUGUGAUACGUUUUCAAAGAGUCGAGUUGUUUGGGAUUGCAGCUCAAAACGGGUGGUAAAUUCCAUCCAAAGCUAAAUAUAGGCGAGAGACCGAUAGCGAACAAGUACCGUGAGGGAAAGAUGAAAAGAACUUUGAAAAGAGAGUUAAAAGUGCGUGAAAUUGUUAAAAGGGAAGCGAUUGAAACUAGGAAUGGCAGGUAGGCAAAUCAGCCGCACGGCGCCGUGUCCACCGCGUCAAGCGAGUCGCAAGACCUCUUGCGCGGUGUACGCAGUGUCGGACGGUGCACUUUGUCCGCCAGCAAGUCGACAUUGGUUUCGACUGCCGGAAAAGCCCGGUGGGAAGGUGACGCUGUUUUCGGACAGCGUGUUAUAGCCCAUCGUGUGCCGCGGCGGUCGAGACCGAGGCGAAUGCCCUUUUGGGCUGGCAGCACGUGCCUUUUGGCUGGGCCUCUUGAUUGUGCAUGCGCGACACGCCGCCGACUCGCCCCUGGGCGAUGACGUCGGCGUGGCUCGUGCGCGCACACCAGGAUCGGUCACAUACGUGCUCCAGAUGUCGACGCAAUGGUUUUCAUUGACCCGUCUUGAAACACGG